GGGCCGGUAGCUCAGUUGGUCAGAGCAGGGGACUCAUAAUCCCUAGGCCGUCGGUUCAAGCCCGACCCGGCCCACCA
rnacentral:tRNA from 1 species